rnacentral:tRNA from 1 species
GGGCCAGUAGCUCAGUGGUAGAGCGCUUCGUUCGCAACGAAGAGGCCGCGAGUUCGAAUCUCGCCUGGUCCA